AGAGCCCUUUUUCUGUUGUACUACUGGCAAUUAUGAUGAGCAGUGCAAUAUUAAAAGGGCAUUGGCUGGCAG
ensembl:miRNA